rnacentral:rRNA from 1 species
AGAGUUUGAUCAUGGCUCAGAUUGAACGCUGGCGGCAGGCCUAACACAUGCAAGUCGAGCGGAAACGAGAAUAGCUUGCUAUUCGGCGUCGAGCGGCGGACGGGUGAGUAAUGCCUGGGAAAUUGCCCUGAUGUGGGGGAUAACCAUUGGAAACGAUGGCUAAUACCGCAUAAUAGCUUCGGCUUAAAGAGGGGGACCUUCGGGCCUCUCGCUUCAGGAUAUGCCCAGGUGGGAUUUGCUAGUUGGUGAGGUAAAGGCUCACCAAGGCGACGAUCCCUAGCUGGUCUGAGAGGAUGAUCAGCCACACUGGAACUGAGACACGGUCCAGACUCCUACGGGAGGCAGCAGUGGGGAAUAUUGCACAAUGGGCGCAAGCCUGAUGCAGCCAUGCCGCGUGUAUGAAGAAGGCCUUCGGGUUGUAAAGUACUUUCAGCAGUGAGGAAGGGUGUGUAGUUAAUAGCUGCAUACUUUGACGUUAGCUGCAGAAGAAGCACCGGCUAACUCCGUGCCAGCAGCCGCGGUAAUACGGAGGGUGCGAGCGUUAAUCGGAAUUACUGGGCGUAAAGCGCAUGCAGGUGGUUUGUUAAGUCAGAUGUGAAAGCCCGGGGCUCAACCUCGGAACUGCAUUUGAAACUGGUGAACUAGAGUGCUGUAGAGGGAGGUAGAAUUUCA